GACGAACGCUGGCGGCGUGCUUAACACAUGCAAGUCGAGCGGAGAGGCCCUUUUGGGGGUACGUCGAGCGGCGAACGGGUGAGUAACACGUGAGUAAUCUGCCCUUCACUCUGGGAUAACUGCCUGAAAGGGUAGGGCUAAUACUGGAUGCGACCAACUGCUGCAUGGUGUGUUGGUGGAAAGCGUUUAGUGGUGGGGAGUGUGCUCGCGGCCUA
rnacentral:rRNA from 1 species